AUCCUGGUCCAGAGUGAAUGCUGGCGGCGUGGAUAAGGCAUACAAGUCGUACGCAGUGGCUUUUAGUCACUGAGUGGCGAACGGGUUAGUAAUAUCUUGGUACGUACCUUAAAGUCAGACAUAGCUCGUCGAAAGACGGGGUAAUUUCUGAUAAUACCGCAAGGUUAAAGCCGAAAGGCGCUUUAAGAGCGGCCUAGAUCCCAUCAGCUAGUUGGUGAGGUAAUGGCUCACCAAGGCAACGACGGGUAGGGGAUGUGAGAGCAUGUUCCCCAACAAGGGCACUGAGACACGGGCCCUACUCCUACGGGAGGCAGUAGCCGAGAAUCUUGGUCAAUGGGCGCAAGCCUGAACCAGCGACGCCGCGUGUAGGAUGAAGGUCUUCGGAUUGUAAACUACUUUUAUAGAGGAAAAAUCUUCGGAUGAUGGUACUCUAUGAAUAAGGAGCUGCAAACUACGUGCCAGCAGCCGCGGUAAUACGUAGGCUCCAAGCAUUACUCGGAUUUAUUGGGCGUAAAGUGUCCAUCGGCGGUUUUGUCUCGCAAGAGAGUUUCUAUUUCUGGGUUUUCUCAAAGAUAGAAAUUUAGUCUGUUGUUAAAUAUUUCGGCUUAACCGAAAAUUUGCAAUAGAUACGGCGAAACUAGAAUAAAGAAGAGGUUAAUGGAACGCACGGUGUAGGAGUGAAAUCCGUUGAUAUCGUGCGGAACACCGAAGGCGAAAGCAGUUAACUAUUCUUUAUUGACGCUCCAUGGACGAAAGCACAGGGAGCAAAUAGGAUUAGAUACCCUAGUAGUCUGUGCCAUAAACGUUGGGUGCUGGUUAUUUGAAGUGUCGACCCUUCAAGUGACGAAGCUAACGCGUUAAGCACCCCGCCUGGGUAGUACGACCGCAAGGUUGAAACUCAAAGGAAUAGACCGGAGCUCGCACAAGCGGUGGAGCAUGAGGUUUAAUUCGAGGGCACGCGAUGAACCUUACCAGGGCUUGACAUGCUAAUGAAAGUCUUUCGAAAGAUAGACCCUCCGCAAGGACAUUAGCACAGGUGCUGCAUGGUUGUCGUCAGUUCGUGGCGUGAGUUGUACCCUUAAGUGGGGUAACGAACGCAACCCCUAUCCUAUGUUAAAUAUGUCAUAGGAGACCGCCCCCUCCUAAGUUUUUGAAUCUUUCAAGAAUUUAGGAGGGGGAGGAAGGUGGGGAUGACGAUUGAUCAGCAUGGCCCUUUGACGCCCUGGGCGACACUCAUGCUACAAUGGAAAUUACAAAGGGUAGCCAAACCGUAAGGUGGAGCCAAUCCCAAAAAAAUUUCCUCAGUUCAGAUUGAGGUCUGCAACUCGACCUCAUGAAGCUGGAAUCGCUAGUAAUCGCGGGUCAGCCAUACCGCGGUGAAUAUGUUCCCGAGCUCUGUACUCACCGCCCGUCAAUUCAAGGGAGUCGGAAAUAGCCGAACCCCGCCUAAAUUUUUGAAUCUUUCAAAAAUUUAGGCGGGGUAAGCUAGAGCCGAUGACAGGGGAUAAGUCGUAACAAGGUAUCCGUACCGGAAGGUGCGGAUG
rnacentral:rRNA from 1 species